UUCGUUUUCGCGGGGGCGGGUCGGCUGAUACAAUGAGUGAGGGAGGUCAUCGGAAGGGAGGAGGCUGCCGAGAGGGGCUGGGCUUCUCGCACUAGACGGAGUGGUUUCUAACCCAUAGUCUAAGGGAAAAUUGACAGAUAGCAUGCAAGCUCUUCAUCAGCUCAUCCCCAUCUUCUCCACCUGGCUCACUCCUCUGUGUCCAUGGACACUGUCGCCCCAGCAACCUGCAGCUCUGCCUCAUACCGCCUCCUCAGACCCUUCAGGUAGAUGCGGAGGCUGUCAGGGUCCAGCCGGGAGUUCCUGGCCGUCUGCAGGAGGCGGGUGGCCAGGCGGUAGACCGCCCGCUGGCGCAGGGUCUCAGGGUCAGUGUGCUGUCUGGCCUGGGAGAGAGAGAGAGAGAGAGAGAGAGAGAGAGGGAAGUGCAGAAACACGAAGAAGGGUAAGAAGAAACUAAGGACUGGACAGUCACAUGGUGGACAUUAAGCAAAUUCAGCAUUCAGUUUGACUAUGGCAUCUGUAUUUGAUCCUGACAUCACUGAACAACAUUGCUUUGGGAUGGCACAGUAACUUCAAUAAUCUGGGAAGAGCAAGAUAUCUUCUCAAAGCUGCAUGAGAUUAAGUUUUCAAAGAAGAAGUAAUCCUGUCAAUAGGGCUAAAGAUGAACUACAAAAAUCAUGGCAAAUUAGUAUCCUAAUCCCAGGGAGUUUACCAGCAACGGACAUUUAAAUCAGUGCAGACAUUUAAGUCAGCAAGUGAACUGGGAAAGAGCCUACCCACAACUGCUGAUUGACACUGGAAGCUAUCUCUUUUGCUUCCUGGAUUAUGGACAGUGGUAAUGCAGUCAUCUCUGCUGCCUUCAGACCUGAAAUUUACAUACUGCAUUAAAUCGCUUCCCAGCCAGGACUGAAUCACUCGCACUCUUGGAAAAACUGCACAAGGAAUCAGGCCGUCGGUGCUGCAUGGGCGUCCAUCCAUAUUAAGUACCCAGUGCAGAGCACAAUGCACUGGUAACAUUUGAGAAAGGCGUAGAGAAUGUUAUGUGUCGGCUGCUCAGACGUCAUAGCCCAGAGAAGCACGUGGUACCGUAAUUCCUCUCCUCCGAGCAGCCCCGACUUAGCAGAUACGUGUAGACCACUUUCUCUGCGCCGGACUCUGCAGAGCGGGUGUGCUGGACCUCCAUGUGCAGGUUCUCCACGUUGGGGUAAAGGGUCUCCAGCUGGCACAGCUCCAGGAAGUGGGUAGCGAACAAAGUGAAGGCCUGUGGGACAGGGUACAGUUGUGCUGAGAUCACAGGCCGAGCCUACUCGCACUGAACAGGCCUCCAGGCCUAAACAGGAAGCAGAGGGACAUUUCUCAAGUCGGCCCAAAUCAUCCGAUAAAAUGGUUGAUUUUCUGAAAAUGUUAUUUUCCAGAAAUGCACUUCCACCAAGGCGCUAUGUUUGGACUUAACAUGGUUUUCAGAGUAAAUUUUGUUUUUUGGCUAUCGAGCAAGCCACUGGAAGAGCAAGGGUGGGUCCCUGACGAGCAACAGAACCCAAGCUAAUCAUAGUUUACUGCUCCCAGAAAGAACAUAAUGAGUCUUGUACAACACCCCCAAAGAAAUGAUCUUCCUGGUGUGUUUAUUUGGGUUUUGUUUUUUAUUGCAGUGGAGUGAGACACUUCAACCAUCGUCAAGUGAUGAAAACUUAAUAAGAGGCCGUUUUUGUGAAAAUAAGGGUCUGUAUAGUUGACGUAAAUAGAACAGCAAUCUACACACAGAAACAUACAGAGAGUGUGAUUCAUGCUCCAGAGUUGUCAAGUGACAGACAGAAAGGAGGGGUGUGGCUGGACUCUGUACCCGGAAGUUAAGGAGGAACUCGCAGACUGAGUGACAGAUACCGACGCCCUCCUCGGCACUGGUGCCCCGCCCCAACUCGUCGAUGAUGAUGAGAGACCUGUCACUCACGUUGUGAAUUAUGUAAGAAAUCUGAGGAAUGCACAGACAUUAAACCAAUACCAGCUUAGUGUGCAGUCACACAAACUGAAGUGAUAAAAAAAUGGGUCAUUUCGGACUUAUCAUAUCAGAAAAAACCGAAAACACUGCUGCCUCAUUAUAAAAAAUGUGUUGUCAAUACACUUUCAUCUUCACAUGUGUGCAAAAUAACAAUUUCAUCUUGUACAUGUGUAUGACUGUAAAUUUGUUUUAAAAAUGUGUAAAAUGAGUACUUCUCUAUGAGGUUGUGAAAAGUCACUCUUAUAGGUGCGAAAUUAAUCAUGUGCUUCUUUCUUAAAGGUCCAAGAAACUGUAAUCUAUGAAUUCUUUGCUGAUGUGUUAAUGUUUUGCAUUAUAAAAUGGCCCAGAAAUAUUUUUAAACGAUUCUAGCAACAAAAAAACGAAUAAAAGUCUGUGUUGAGAUUGGCUUGCUUUCCCCCAUGGCUAAAUGCCAUGUUUUCA